GACGUAGGGUGCGAGCGUUGUCCGGAGUUACUGGGCGUAAAGGGCGCGUAGGCGGCGCGCCGCGUCGCACGUGAAAGCCCCCGGCUCAACCGGGGAGGGUCGUGCGAUACGGGCGUGCUGGAGGCAGGGAGAGGCGGGUGGAAUUCCCGGUGUAGUGGUGAAAUGCGUAGAGAUCGGGAGGAACACCAGAGGCGAAGGCGGCCCGCUGGCCCUGACCUGACGCUGAGGCGCGAAGGCGUGGGGAGCGAACGGGAUUAGAAACCCCCGUAGUCC
rnacentral:rRNA from 1 species